rnacentral:tRNA from 1 species
GCGAAAGUAGCUCAGUUGGUAGAGCGCAACCUUGCCAAGGUUGAGGUCGCGAGUUCGAACCUCGUCUUUCGCUCUA